rnacentral:rRNA from 1 species
GGAUCCAGACUUUGAUCCUGGCUCAGGAUGAACGCUAGCGACAGGCUUAACACAUGCAAGUUGAGGGGCAGCGAGGGAGUGGCAACACUUCUGUCGGCGACCGGCGCACGGGUGAGUAACGCGUAUGCAACCUGCCCUUCACAGGGGGAUAACCGGGAGAAAUUCCGACUAAUACCGCAUACGUCCUCCGGGGGCAUCCCCGGGGGAUGAAAGAAUUAUCGGUGAAGGAUGGGCAUGCGUGAUAUUAGGUAGUUGGCGGGGCAACGGCCCACCAAGCCCACGAUAUCUAGGGGUUCUGAGAGGAAGGUCCCCCACAUUGGUACUGAGACACGGACCAAACUCCUACGGGAGGCAGCAGUGAGGAAUAUUGGUCAAUGGACGAGAGUCUGAACCAGCCAAGUCGCGUGAAGGAAGACGGAUCUAUGGUUUGUAAACUUCUUUAGUGCGGGAGCAAAGCGGCGUCGAGACGCCUGAUGAGUGUACCGCAAGAAUAAGCAUCGGCUAACUCCGUGCCAGCAGCCGCGGUAAUACGGAGGAUGCGAGCGUUAUCCGGAUUUAUUGGGUUUAAAGGGAGCGCAGGCUGCGAGGCAAGUCAGCGGUCAAAUGUCGGGGCUCAACCCCGGCCUGCCGUUGAAACUGUCCUGCUAGAGUUCGAGUGAGGUAUGCGGAAUGCGUUGUGUAGCGGUGAAAUGCAUAGAUAUGACGCAGAACUCCGAUUGCGAAGGCAGCAUACCAACUCGCGACUGACGCUGAGGCUCGAAAGCGUGGGUAUCGAACAGGAUUAGAUACCCUGGUAGUCCACGCAGUAAACGAUGAAUACUAACUGUUCGGAGGGCGACCUUUGAGUGGUAAAGCGAAAGCGUUAAGUAUUCCACCUGGGGAGUACGCCGGCAACGGUGCAACUCAA